UUCCUCAACAGCCCAGUCUAUCACCAAUCUUCGAACAAACCAGCACCCACCUAACUAUCUCAAUAUGUCUCCCUGCUCCUGCAACUGCUGCGCUGGUGAUUGCAGCUCCUGCUCGUGCGGUUACUGCAGCGUAAGGUUCC
rfam:TPA: Aspergillus nidulans FGSC A4 chromosome VI